CGAGAAGCGAAAAAGAGAAACUUACGGGGGUCGUCGGGGGACGCGCGGGGGUCCGCGCUGCGCCGCGCCGCGCUCCGCACUAAGCGGCCGUCCCGCUGUCCCGGCGUUAAACAGCUCUAGCAGCUGCGGUGGUGGACAGUUAAGAUUAUAUAUGAUGUAAAUAUAUUGUGGGUUUGUCAGCUCCCCCAAACCAUAAAACUUAGUUUAAUGACAUCACGUGCUCCCUGAGAGCCACUCAGGGCUUUUGCUUCGGGCCAUCCACAUAAAUAACCUUCAAAAGUUUUAAACUACUAAAUUUCACGUCGAAGCCCCGAGUAUUUCUGCUAAUGUUGCCAUGUUCUCGGCGAAACUCAUAGAGCGUGGUUUGGGGCUUUUUGUUUUGUUUUUCUUUUUUAAAGAGUCCCGGCUUGGUGUAUAUCCAUACCUAUAUACCCGUGUUUGUGUAGAUAUGGAAACGGAACUUUGGUUGGUUUGUUGUUUCGGGGCCCUUCUGAGUUCCCACGGGGGUGACACGGAUGGAGGGGGCAAGGGGAAUGUCUCGAGGAAGAAAAGGAGCUGCAACCUCGAGAGGAAAUGAAGUCACCGCGUUAUAUAUCUCCUUGCACGGCAGCGGUGUAUACACGGAGAUAGAUAAGAUUAGAUGAUGGAUGGGAAAAGCGGAGCCCCUCCCGAAAGCGAUGGUUCUCAAUUACAGAGAGCGCAGAGCGACCGCGGAACGGGGGGUGACCCCAAAAACCGACCCCCUCCACCCCACCGGAGAGCUCCGUGCCCCCAAAGCGCCGCGUUACAGCGAUCCGAUCGUCCCAAUAAAGAGAGGAAAAGCAUUGGGAUGCAAAGUGUUGCUUGUUUAAUCGGCGCGCUUCGUGAUUACGAACGCUUUGCAAUUAAUUAACGCGCAGAGGAGCAGGCCGAGGCCGCCGGCCCGAGCCAUUGGGGAGGGGGGGGGCUGCGGGGAAGGAGGGGGGGCUAUGGGCGUGCAAGGCCGAGCCUCGUGCACGCAAUUAGCAGCGCGGCUCAUUAAAUAUGGCUCUAGCCCAGCCUUGGCCGACCCACCCGUGCUGCGCCGGGCCGCCCCCUCCGCGCAUGCGCUCCCCCCCUUAUUAUUAUUUCAUACAUAUAUAUAUAUUUUUAAGGAAAAGUUGUGCGGCUGCAUUUCCCCCCCUCCAUCCCCACGCAGAUUUCCCCCCCCCUUCCCUCCCGGCGCGCCCCUCAACCCCUACCCCCACC
rnacentral:lncRNA from 1 species